GUUUGAGACACGUGGGAAAGACCACAGAGUCGAUCCAGAUUAUAAUUAAUCAAAUUGAUGAAAUGGAAACUGCUAGCAGGACAACAAUCUCUGAGCCAAACUUGCUUUGAGCAGUGGGUGAGGGAAAGACUCUUAAAGGUUGCACUUCCUGACAAAGGUCAGGUUGUAACAAGGAUCUCAAUUCUUUCCCCUGUCCUUCGCUAGAGUUCACACUCCAUCAUCUCUAAGGGGCUCAGUGUUUCAAAGCCAAACCCUUCUGUCUUUCAAAUUCAGAGAGGGUUGAGGAACCUCUAGUUUCUUCUUGGGGUUUAACACUGAAAACCACAUUGCAUUUAAAGUAUAAAGGCAGCCAUCGUGGAGAUUUGUAUACAAGAACCUUACGAUUCACAGAACCAUUUUCCCACAGGUAUAAAAAGCUUGUCUACAGCUACCGAAUCUUCAGAGAGAAACAUGGAUACUACAGGAUACAGACUGAGGCUGAUGUUCCAAGAAAGAUCUUUCCAAACCUAGAAGAAUUAGUCUCCAAAUACAAAAAGCCAGAUCAAGGACUGGUGGUUCACCUUUCAAACCCAAUAAUGAGAACCGACUUAUGCCAAAAAGGGAGAAGAUCGGAGUUAGAGCUGAAUAUUUAUGAGAACACCAAUGAGGAGUAUGUGGACGUCCUGCCUUGAAGACAAGGAUAUUGGACAAGGCAAGCUACAAAAGAGACUGGCUCUGCUCUCAGCUGCCACAUGGUCAAGUGUGAAUCUAAAACACCAAUUUCUAGUGGGCCACUGCGACCCUCUGAUUCGGAUAGCAAGAUCUGUUCUGCAGCCUUGGAGGAGCCAUUUCCCAGACACCCGCCUUCUGGUACAAUCCUCAAGAGGCCCUAAAGCCACUACUUACUGA
rnacentral:lncRNA from 1 species